ensembl:snRNA U6 U6 spliceosomal RNA
GUACUCCCUUUGGCAGCACAUAUACUAAAAUUGGAAUGUUAGAAGUUUAGCCUGUCCCCUGUGCAAGGAUGACAUAUAAAUUUAUGAAGUGUUCCAUAUUUGC